rnacentral:rRNA from 1 species
UACGAAGGGGGCUAGCGUUGUUCGGAGUUACUGGGCGUAAAGGGCGCGUAGGCGGCGCACCAAGUCAGGCGUGAAAGCCCUGGGCUCAACCCGGGAAUUGCGCUUGAGACUGGUGUGCUUGAGUACGGGAGAGGAUAGUGGAAUUCCCAGUGUAGAGGUGAAAUUCGUAGAUAUUGGGAAGAACACCGGUGGCGAAGGCGGCUCUCUGGACCGAGACUGACGCUGAGGCGCGAAAGCGUGGGGAGCAAACAGG